AUGCAAAAAAAAAACUUAAAUAUAUUGCAAACAAAAAUAGAGCAAAAUUUUAGCAAAAAUAAAGCAUGCAGGGGUAUAAGAUGGAAAACUGAUGGUGUGGGGCCACUGAAUGGUGUUGGGCUUCUGUUCGAAGCCCAUAAUUCUUUAUUCAGAAAAAAACAAAAAACAAAAACAGGCGCGUGGUGGAUAGUGAUAUUGUUGGUGCGUGGUGAUAAACCAGUGGGCCACUGGUUUGGAGCCCAAUUCUCAUCACAUCAUGAAUCAGAAACGACCAAAAAGAAUUAA